rnacentral:rRNA from 1 species
AUUGAACGCUGGCGGCAGGCUUAACACAUGCAAGUCGAGCGGGGGAAGGUAGCUUGCUACCGGACCUAGCGGCGGACGGGUGAGUAAUGCUUAGGAAUCUGCCUAUUAGUGGGGGACAACAUCUCGAAAGGGAUGCUAAUACCGCAUACGUCCUACGGGAGAAAGCAGGGGAUCUUCGGACCUUGCGCUAAUAGAUGCGCCUAAGUCGGAGUAGCUAGUUGGUGGGGUAAAGGCCUACCAAGGCGACGAUCUGUAGCGGGUCUGAGAGGAUGAUCCGCCACACUGGGACUGAGACACGGCCCAGACUCCUACGGGAGGCAGCAGUGGGGAAUAUUGGACAAUGGGGGGAACCCUGAUCCAGCCAUGCCGCGUGUGUGAAGAAGGCCUUAUGGUUGUAAAGCACUUUAAGCGAGGAGGAGGCUACUCUAGUUAAUACCUAGGGAUAGUGGACGUUACUCGCAGAAUAAGCACCGGCUAACUCUGUGCCAGCCGCCGCGGUAA